GAUGAACGCUGGCGGCGUGCCUAAUACAUGCAAGUCGAGCGAACGGACGAGAAGCUUGCUUCUCUGAUGUUGGCGGCGGACGGGUGAGUAACACGUGGAUAACCUACCUAUAAGACUGGGAUAACUUCGGGAAACCGGAGCUAAUACCGGAUAAUAUUUUGAACCGCAUGGUUCAAAAGUGAAAGACGGUCUUGCUGUCACUUAUAGAUGGAUCCGCGCUGCAUUAGCUAGUUGGUAAGGUAACGGCUUACCAAGGCAACGAUGCAUAGCCGACCUGAGAGGGUGAUCGGCCACACUGGAACUGAGACACGGUCCAGACUCCUACGGGAGGCAGCAGUAGGGAAUCUUCCGCAAUGGGCGAAAGCCUGACGGAGCAACGCCGCGUGAGUUAUGAAGGUCUUCGGAUCGUAAAACUCUGUUAUUAGGGAAGAACAUAUGUGUAAGUAACUGUGCACAUCUUGACGGUACCUAAUCAGAAAGCCACGGCUAACUACGUG
rnacentral:rRNA from 1 species